AGAGUUUGAUCCUGGCUCAGGANGNNNGCUGGCGGCGUGCCUAACACAUGCAAGUCGAGCGGAGUUAUUUCCAGGAAGCUUUCGGGUGGAAUGAACUUAACUUAGCGGCGGACGGGUGAGUAACGCGUGGGCAACCUACCCUGUACAGGGGGAUAACAAUGGGAAACCAUUGCUAAUACCCCAUAAUACCUUUUAGGGGCAUCCCUUUAAGGUCAAAGAAUUUCGGUACAGGAUGGGCCCGCGUCUGAUUAGCUAGUUGGUGAGGUAAUGGCUCACCAAGGCGACGAUCAGUAGCCGGCCUGAGAGGGUGAACGGCUACACUGGAACUGAGACACGGUCCAGACUCCUACGGGAGGCAGCAGUGGGGAAUAUUGCACAAUGGGCGAAAGCCUGAUGCAGCAACGCCGCGUGAGCGAUGAAGGCUUUCGGGUCGUAAAGCUCUGUCCUAAGGGAAGAUAAUGACGGUACCUUAGGAGGAAGCCCCGGCUAACUACGUGCCAGCAGCCGCGGUAAUUC
rnacentral:rRNA from 1 species